GAGAGCACUGGCUAUAUUGACUACGACCAGCUCGAGAAAAGUGCCACACUCUUUAGGCCAAAAUUGAUUGUUGCUGGUGCUAGUGCCUACGCACGUCUUUAUGACUAUGACAGAAUCCGGAAGGUUUGCAACAAACAGAAAGCUAUUUUGUUAGCAGAUAUGGCACACAUUAGUGGAUUGGUUGCAGCUGGAGUUAUCCCAUCACCAUUUGACUAUGCUGAUGUUGUCACUACCACAACCCACAAGUCCCUUCGUGGCCCUCGUGGUGCUAUGAUUUUUUAUAGGAAGGGUGUUAAAGAGGUUAACAAGCAAGGCAAGGAGGUUUUCUACGACUAUGAAGACAGAGCGAAGCUCGUAUAUUCAGCAUCUAAUAAGGUAAACAUAUGUACAAAUUACACACAAUGUAGCGCGAAAAGUGAUCAAAACAAGAGAAGGCAUACCAAUACACAACAGAAGAGGAAGAAAUAUAAUCUUCCAAGUGAUCUAUCCGCGUGUAACAGCUGCCUUCUCAUUCUCAAACUCGUGUUUAUUUCAAGGUUAUACGAGUUUGGACAUGCGUUUCCAAAGACUCUUGCAUAAACCACUUCACCAAUCACGGUUGGUGAGGCCGUGUAGCUCCCUGAAUGUGGCUGUUGUCGAUGGUUAAGUUGUUGCGAUGGAAGUGAAUUUGUCGUAGUUGCUAUAUCCCCACUACAUGUUGGCCUCAGAGGCCUUUGUGGUAUGACCAUGCCUUUACUUGUAACGCCGUCUGCAGAUGAUUUUGUUGCUUGGCCAGGGCCAUAGAGCGGAAUCAACUCCUUUUGUGAAACUUUAGCUUUGCAAACAGGACAUUGUGGCUUUUGGUGAUCCGAGGCGCCCUGGAAUUGAAUCCACUUGUAGAUACAAGGCCAACAAUAAAGGUGACCGCAAAAUGUAACCACGGGAUCUUUUACAACGUCCAAACAUAUGUUACAGUCAAAACCACUAGCGCGAUUGUCAUCAUCACGCUCAUCAUCAAGCGUCUUCCAUUUCUGUAAGGGGCUACCACGACAUUUGUUAAAGGUACUCUCUGCUAUCUGUUCUUCAAAAUGAAGAUCCAACGCCAUAUCUUGUUUCUUGAUUUCUAGUGCCUGAAUACAGAUCAAGAUUGUCCUUUUAACUGAUGAUUUUCACAACUCCCAAUCAAAAAAAAAGGAAAAAAAACUCUUCAAUGUUAUAGUGAGUGAUAUAAAGAAGCAAAG
rnacentral:misc_RNA from 1 species